UCCCUGAUAGCUCAGUGGUAGAGCAGGUGACUGUUAAUCACCGGGUCGGCGGUUCGAGCCCGUCUCAGGGAGCCA
rnacentral:tRNA from 1 species